rnacentral:sRNA from 1 species
UGAGGCCUCCUGACUGGCGCCGAUGCUCUGGCGACAGAGCGCCGGAUGCCGGAAAGUUGGUCAAACUUGAUCAUUUAGAGGAAGUAAAAGUCGUAACAAGGUUUCCGUAGGUGAACCUGCGGAAGGAUCAUUACCGAUGCAGUCCGACAACUCCGUUGUUUACCUUGUGAACUGUACCUAACUCUUAGGGGUCGGCAAGUCCGUUAAAUGGCGGUCGUACGUGUCUGUCUGUCUGUUUGUCCCGAGAGAGGAUUGCGGACGGACGCGGACGCUCUGCCAGCCCCGACCGUGUUUUUAACACGAACGAAGGUGGGCUUUACUGUACGUCUGAUUUGGGUGGCCACUCCGUGCGUCACCGCGAGAGAGAGCAAAAACGAGAUACAACUUUUGACGGUGGAUCUCUUGGCUCACGCAUCGAUGAAGAACGCAGCCAGCUGCGAUAAGUAGUGUGAAUUGCAGAAUUCAGUGAAUCAUCGAAUCUUUGAACGCAAAUGGCGCUCUUGGGUUCUCCCAGGAGCAUGUCUGUCUGAGUGUCGGAUAUCAUCCAUCGCACCCGGCGGUGCGGCGUUGAGGCGUCACGGCCGUACGGUUUACCGUGCCGUGUCCCUUGAAGGCAAGAGAGACCCGCGUGGCUCGGGCCGGUCCCCGGCAGACACGAUCGCGGAGGCUAAAAGCUGUUUUGCCCUUCGCGUGCCGGUGCGACUGGCCGUACCAGGGUCGGUCGGACGAGGCGAACGCCAAAGGCUCUGACCUCAGAU